rnacentral:rRNA from 1 species
GACGAACGCUGGCGGCGCGCUUAACACAUGCAAGUCGAGCGAGAACCAGGACUUCGGUCCUGGGGACAGCGGCGAACGGGUGAGUAACACGUGGGUAAUCUGCCCUCGAUUCUGGGAUAGCCCGGGGAAACUCGGAUUAAUACCGGAUAGCCUUUCAAGCUUUCGGGCGUGAAAGAAAAGGUAGCUUCGGCCUCCGAUCGAGGAUGAGCCCGCGGUGGAUUAGCUUGUUGGCGGGGUAAUGGCCCACCAAGGCGACGAUCCAUAGCUGGUCUGAGAGGACGAUCAGCCACACUGGGACUGAGACACGGCCCAGACUCCUACGGGAGGCAG